rnacentral:tRNA from 9 species
GGCGCCAUAGCCAAGCGGUAAGGCAGAGCUCUGCAAAAGCUUUAUUCCCCAGUUCGAUUCUGGGUGGCGCCUCCA